rnacentral:rRNA from 1 species
UGGUGGAGUGAUUUGUCUGGUUUAUUCCGUUAACGAACGAGACCUCAACCUACUAAAUAGUACGGCGAACUUCUAGUUCGUACGCGACUUCUUAGAGGGACUAUCGGUGUGUAGCCGAUGGAGGUUUGAGGCAAUAACA